rnacentral:lncRNA from 1 species
AAAGCAUGCAUCAGCCACAUCCAUGCUAUCUCCUAAAGCAGUCAUUCUGAAACCCAAUCUGGGGACAGUGCAGACUAAAUAAAAUUUCAUUUUGAUUUGGCCUCCCGCUGCGAAUGGGACUGCUUUGUCUCAGCCGACAGAACCAGCAAGCCAGAAAGAUUGAAGAACAAAAUGAAAGUUAGUUAAAGAAGACGUUGAAGAAACAAUAGUGUGAAAACAGCACGAAAUGUCAUUUGGUAAAUAUGCCACAGCCUCACAUAAGGAAGAGGAAAAUGGCACUGUGGGCCAUGAUUGGCAGGUCUGGAUCCAUAGACUGAUUUCCAGGAUCACCCAACAGGAAUGAAGACAUUUGGAGAAGAAGCGUUUACUGAAAGGAGAUUCCUGGGCUGGAGGAAAACCAUGAUCUACAGUUCAUGUUGACAGAUAUUGCAUUUUUGGUCCUAGAUCUGACUUUUGAAAUGACUUAUCACAAAUUCAAAUUUAGCAAUCAUGAGUGAAGUACCCACGAUGUGCUAAGCAUCUACCUCUGCAGAUAGAAGAACACUUACCGUUCCUGAGCAUGGGAGGGAACUUCUG